AAACAGGUUAAUAUUCCUGUACUUGGUGUUACUGCGAAGGGGGACGGAGAAGGCUAUGUUAGCCGGGCGACGGUUGUCCCGGUUUAAGCAUGUAGGCUGAUUGUCCAGGCAAAUCCGGAUAAUCAAGGCUGAGGUGUGAUGACGAGGCACUACGGUGCUGAAGUAACAAAUGCCCUGCUUCCAGGAAAAGCCUCUAAGCAUCAGGUAACAUUAAAUCGUACCCCAAACCGACACAGGUGGUCAGGUAGAGAAUACCAAGCGCUUGAGAGAACUCGGGUGAAGGAACUAGGCAAAAUGGUGCCGUAACUUCGGGAGAAGGCACGCUGGUGUGUAGGUGAAGCCCCUGCGGGUGGAGCUGAGACCAGUCGAAGAUACCAGCUGGCUGCAACUGUUUAUUAAAAAACACAGCACUGUGCAAACACGAAAGUGGACGUAUACGGUGUGACGCCUGCCCGGUGCCGGAAGGUUAAUUGAUGGGGUUAUCCGUAAGGAGAAGCU
rnacentral:rRNA from 1 species